UACAGGUGGGGCUCCAGGCAGGUGCAGAGAGCUCCCCAGCAGCCCAACGCUGCAAGGUUGGAAACCUCGCUGUAGCAGGACAAGCCUAUGAUUGACAUCAUAGAGGAAGGGCCUGAAGAAGCAGCCUCCCCCACAUUUGCCUGGGUUUCAGAUGCCAGAGGAGUGAAGGAGAGCAGGGGAUGUGAAGGCAUCAGCCCUGGGCUUGGGGAUGAGGUAUAAGGGCCUUGAGCGAACUGACCUUGGUGUUCUCGGAAGGAACAUGUGAGAACAGCCACCCCGCCGGCCUGCCUGUUUGGUCCCGGUCUGCUCGACAGGAAGCACGAUCUGGGCUGUGGAGUUAAACCAAAUUGCACUGAGACCUCCAUAGGCAGGUUACGCUGUUCCCAUCCCCGAACUCGCCUCUAAACCUCCAGGAAGAACAACGAGCUUCUUACUGUAGGCAGAGGCCAUCUGUCAUCAUUCUCCUCUGCUAAGAGGCUCGGGUAUUGGAAGACAAAUGGCCUGAACUCUGUAAUACCCGUCCCCUGGGGUGGCUGGUUGACAGCUGGUUGAGGGGAGAGGGGGAAUGGGCUCGGACACGUUGGCAGGUAUCCCCGUGGGCCCAGAGCUGAGAAAAAGAGAACUCAGGAGGGGGACUCGGUGGGUGGUCCACCAAGGAGCAGUCACCCUACUCGGCCACACAAUCUCCCUAGAGCAAUGGAUGGGCCCGGGCCCUUGCUCGCCUAGAACAAGGAGGACAGAGUCUGAUCAUUGCCUGACUGCAACCAGACUCAGUGGCAGCUGGGGAGCCAGCUGUAGGUCAGGAGUAAAAGUACAAAGUGGGGGGA